CUUUCCAAACAGAAUCCGCCAUGGUACGGCAGCGUUUUCUAAUAUAUCUUAACGCCCUAUGCCUCGGCAUAGUACAGAGCGCGGUAAUAACCGUGUACGAACCCAGGCGUCGGUGUCCGAACACUGAGGAAAAAUGGCGGGAAAGAGUGGCAGGUUAUAUCUGUCCCUCUCAAACUCAGUACCACUGUAUGCUUACGGGAGAUGGUGAAAUUGUGGAAUUCUGUAGCGACAUUAUUUGGAUAGAACACGAAUACUGUCCUAUGUUCAACUCCAAAACCGGGACCAUAGACGUUCAACUUUGUCCAGAGAAUGGAGACUGUCCACGGAAACAAUAUCUUUCCAACACAGUUUACAAUUAUCCUGACUGUCUGCAAGUUUUCCGCAAGGAUUCGGAUUCGAAAGAUGGCGGAAUAUCUUUAGCGUCCACUGCAAUAGAGGAAAACUCCGUGGAACCAUCCUACAAUGUGAGAGCGGUUGAUGCUCUACGUCUGGCCUCCAUCAGCAUGGUGUUCAUGGCCAUCAGUUUUUUCCUCCUCAUUGCAGUUUUCAUCGUCCUGAUUAUACUGCUUUACAUACGUGUUCGAAAGGGAAUGAACGUACAAAAUUUAGGUCGAAGUGACCCUUAACAUAUCAACUUACAUCUUUAAUAUGGCAGAACAUCACGACAACAGGAAGUCUCUAUCAAUCAACAUAAUUGCUGGCACUGAGUUCGAAUCCGAAAUGACGCUUUAAAACAAGAUGUUGUAUGCAAAUAAAAC
rnacentral:sRNA from 1 species